UACGUAGGGACCGAGCGUUGUCCGGAAUCAUUGGGCGUAAAGAGCGUGUAGGCGGCCUUUUAAGUCCUGCGUGAAAGCCCACGGCUCAACCGUGGAGGGUCAUUGGAAACUGGGGGACUUGAGUGCAGAAGAGGAAAGCGGAAUUCCACGUGUAGCGGUGAAAUGCGUAGAGAUGUGGAGGAACACCAGUGGCGAAGGCGGCUUUCUGGUCUGUAACUGACGCUGAGGCGCGAAAGCGUGGGGAGCAAACAGG
rnacentral:rRNA from 1 species